rnacentral:miRNA from 1 species
UAGUAAAAACCAAAGGAAAAAAGUUACCUGCGCUCUUUCCACAUCCCUAUGUAUUUUUAAACAAAUGGAGGUAACUAAAAACCUGUUUUGUUUUGUUUAAAAAUACAUAGGGAUGUGGAAAGAGCGCAGGUAACUUUUUCCUUUGGUUUUCACU